rnacentral:rRNA from 1 species
GCAGUCGAGCGGACAGAUGGGAGCUUGCUCCCUGAUGUUAGCGGCGGACGGGUGAGUAACACGUGGGUAACCUGCCUGUAAGACUGGGAUAACUCCGGGAAACCGGGGCUAAUACCGGAUGGUUGUUUGAACCGCAUGGUUCAGACAUAAAAGGUGGCUUCGGCUACCACUUACAGAUGGACCCGCGGCGCAUUAGCUAGUUGGUGAGGUAACGGCUCACCAAGGCGACGAUGCGUAGCCGACCUGAGAGGGUGAUCGGCCACACUGGGACUGAGACACGGCCCAGACUCCUACGGGAGGCAGCAGUAGGGAAUCUUCCGCAAUGGACGAAAGUCUGACGGAGCAACGCCGCGUGAGUGAUGAAGGUUUUCGGAUCGUAAAGCUCUGUUGUUAGGGAAGAACAAGUGCCGUUCAAAUAGGGCGGCACCUUGACGGUACCUAACCAGAAAGCCACGGCUAACUACGUGCCAGCAGCCGCGGUAAUACGUAGGUGGCAAGCGUUGUCCGGAAUUAUUGGGCGUAAAGGGCUCGCAGGCGGUUUCUUAAGUCUGAUGUGAAAGCCCCCGGCUCAACCGGGGAGGGUCAUUGGAAACUGGGGAACUUGAGUGCAGAAGAGGAGAGUGGAAUUCCACGUGUAGCGGUGAAAUGCGUAGAGAUGUGGAGGAACACCAGUGGCGAAGGCGACUCUCUGGUCUGUAACUGACGCUGAGGAGCGAAAGCGUGGGGAGCGAACAGGAUUAGAUACCCUGGUAGUCCACGCCGUAAACGAUGAGUGCUAAGUGUUAGGGGGUUUCCGCCCCUUAGUGCUGCAGCUAACGCAUUAAGCACUCCGCCUGGGGAGUACGGUCGCAAGACUGAAACUCAAAGGAAUUGACG